AGCAACAUCCAUCUUUCCCUUCUUUUCAUCUUACUUCUAUAAAAAAAACCUCACCCACCUUCAGACACCAUAUGACAAACCCAAUCCCACAAGUCAAUCCCAUCAGGUUCAACGGACGGCUGAGGAUAAUCCAAAUCCCAUCACCACCACCGCCACCAUGCUUUCGUCCGACGAGUCGAAACCGAAACCGAAACCGAUCGUCAUCCGGCAAGUCUGGUCACACAACCUCUACUCGGAGUUCCAACUCAUCCGUGACUGCAUCGACCUAUUCCCCUUCAUCUCGAUGGACACCGAGUUCCCAGGCGUCGUCUUCCGCCCCGACGCAAUCCCCGCCGUACAUCGCCGACGCUCGGCCGACCACUACCGCGUCCUCAAAGUCAACGUCGACGCCCUCAAUCUCAUCCAGCUGGGCCUCACACUCUCCGACUCGGCCGGCAACCUCCCCGAUCUCGGCACCGACAACUGCUUCAUCUGGGAAUUCAAUUUCCGGGACUUCGAUGUUUCUCGCGAUCUCCACGCCUCCGAUUCCAUCGAUCUCUUGAGGCGGAACGGUGUCGAUUUCGAGCGGAACUGCCGGGAUGGCGUUGACUCGACCCUCUUCGCCGAGCUCAUGAUGUCGUCCGGAGUCGUCUGCAAUGAUUCGGUGAGUUGGGUCACCUUCCACAGCGCCUAUGAUUUCGGCUACCUGAUCAAGGUGCUGACGAGGCGGCCGCUCCCGGAAGGCGUUGCGGAGUUCCUGAGCCUGAUGAGGGUGUUCUUUGGGGAGAGGGUUUAUGAUCUGAAGCACCUGAUGAGGUUCUGUGAGAGCCUAUAUGGAGGGCUGGAUCGGCUCGCGAGUUCGUUGGAGGUGGACCGUGCCGUGGGGAAAUGCCACCAGGCCGGGUCCGACAGCCUGCUAACGUGGCACUCCUUCUUGAGGCUCAAGGAGAGGUAUUUCUGUUCAGAUGAAGCAGAGAAGCAUGCCGGUGUGUUGUAUGGGCUGGAUGAAGUUUGCUAUUGAGCGAAUUCCAUGUACCGUGGCGAUGUUGUAAAUAAAGGACAUGGUAAGGAAGAAGAAAUGAAAAAGAAGAAUUUGUUAAGCUGAUAUGUGGAGGUUUGCCCCUUCAAAGAGGUUAUUCGGAACAUAGUGAAGGAAGAGAAAUAGAAGAGAGUGAAUGGGGGAAAAAGUAGGGUUUGGACGCCCACUCCCUCCCUCUUGCUUAUAUUCUUAACUGAUAACUGCAUAAAAAAAGAAGAAGAAGAAGACCAGAUUGACCCUUAUAACAAUGUAUUUUGUACUAUAAGCAAACUAAAGCUGAAGCACAUGAUCUUACCUCCAGCCUUGACAAUUAGAUUCCAAGUUUGUCCUUGCUUUCAUGAUUCGACCGUGAAGAUCCACCCAUGAACUAAGUAGUGCGACACGUACAUGCCUUUCUUGGA